CCCAGCUGUAGCCAGCUGUCUAGGUUGAUUGUACCUAGGCCAGUGCUAAGUUGCUGAGAGAAAAGCAGCUAAUAGCUGGUGGGCAUUCUGGGUCUGGUUAUUGCCAAAUUUGUGUUAACUACACCAGUGUGCCAACACA
ensembl:snoRNA SNORA74 Small nucleolar RNA SNORA74